CAAAAUCACCAUAUUUCUCCUAAACGUCCCUGAACCUGUAAAUACUCUAAAUAGACUCCAAAAGGUAAUAAUUGUAUCUUAAAACACUUUAAAACACUUAUAGACCAUGAUUAAAAAUGGGUAAAAUAUAUGGUCUAUCAACUCCCUCAGACUUACCCUUUUGCUUGUCCUCAAGCAAAACCAACAGGCAGUCUCUCUGAAAGAGGUUUGAAAACAGCAGGGACUCAAAAGAUUUUAAAAACUCAGUCAUCAUCUUUCUAGUAGUGCAAACCAAAUCAUAGACAUCCUAACUUUAGAAGCACAUUAUACAAUAUCCUAGUAUAGCAACCAAAUUCACCUAGUCAACAACUAAACAGAUCCCGUCUGACAAUCUCCUCUACUAACCUCAUUUCUUGCAUAAAAUAAAAGUGCAUGCUUUACCUUGGGAGUAUCGAUCAAGGAACACAUGGACUAAACUCAAGCAAGUAUGUAGUUUCAUUUGAUUCCUUUCUUCCCCCUACUCUCUUCUCUGAAUCUCUUUAUUAGUUUCAAUCCCAAUGAAUUUCGAUGUUGAUUAGACAUCUAGUUCAUCUUAUUGACAUGAUGCUCUUUUUUUUUUUUUUUUUUUUUGACAAAGUGUAGCGAAUAAUGGGGUCAUAGGAGACACUCCUACCCCUCGUUUCCACAAUGUGUGAUCAUUCCCUUCAGACUUAGAAUAAUGGGGUCACAGGAGACACUCCUACCCCUCUGCCUCUUCCAGGAAAUCAUCUCAAUCUUUUAUUUAUAAUUUUGAUCUUUGAGAUGCCGAAGAGAGAGAAAGAAGGGAACCAGCAAAACAUAUGAGCGUUUACCUUUCAUACUUGUAGGAGGAUUCCGAUCCCUUGUAUACCAAGCCCCAAGACAAGCAAAUCAAGUCAAAUUAGGUUGGAGGUCAGCUUUGGUUCCUUCAAACACUCUUAGCAAGUGCAAACAUAGUUGACAUGUUGAUCCACUUUAGUAUCUCUAGUACUUCUGCAUUCAGUAAAUCUAAGACUGGUCUAAAGAGUGGUUUAGAUGACGAGUAAUAAAUCAAAUUGGAUCAUCACCCCCUUCUUGACUCAAUAAAAACAAAUUUUGAAAAUAUUUUAAAUAAGACUCAUAAAGGUAGAUAAACGUUAGUAAUCCCCCCAGACUUGAAUUACACUGUCCCCAGUGUAACACAGUCGGUGGUAAGGUGAAAAUCAUAAAGCAGAAGUACAAAAUUUAACAAGUAAGAACGAUAACCUGCUCAGUAUUGAUCGAUACAAUGAAGUGACAAUCGAUCGUUGUUGAUGAAGCGUUGUCGAUCGAUAUCUAGAUAGUCGCAUCGGUCGAUGAUCUGAGCAAUCGUCUACAUGGAUCUGUUUUUUUUUU
rnacentral:lncRNA from 1 species